UAGGGAAUCUUCCGCAAUGGGCGAAAGCUUGACGGAGCAACGCCGCGUGAGUGAUGAAGGUCUUCGGAUCGUAAAACUCUGUUAUUAGGGAAGAACAAAUGUGUAAGUAACUAUGCACGUCUUGACGGUACCUAAUCAGAAAGCCACGGCUAACUACGUGCCAGCAGCCGCGGUAAUACGUAGGUGGCAAGCGUUAUCCGGAAUUAUUGGGCGUAAAGCGCGCGUAGGCGGUUUUUUAAGUCUGAUGUGAAAGCCCACGGCUCAACCGUGGAGGGUCAUUGGAAACUGGAAAACUUGAGUGCAGAAGAGGAAAGUGGAAUUCCAUGUGUAGCGGUGAAAUGCGCAGAGAUAUGGAGGAACACCAGUGGCGAAGGCGACUUUCUGGUCUGUAACUGACGCUGAUGUACGAAAGCGUGGGGAUCAAACAGG
rnacentral:rRNA from 1 species